rnacentral:rRNA from 1 species
CAAUCAAGUGUCUUAAGGGCAAUUAGUGGAUGCCUUGGCAUGCACAGGCGAUGAAGGACGUGAUACGCUGCGAUAAGCGUCGGGGAGGUGCGAAUACCCUUUGAUCCGACGAUUUCCGAAUGGGGAAACCCACCUAAAAUACUUGGAAAAUCAGAGUGGCAGGCGACUGCUGCUGUGGUUUCCAAGUAUUUAUUAUAGGUAACUUACCCUGAAUAUAUAGGGGUAAAGUGGCGAACGCGGGGAACUGAAACAUCUAAGUACCCGUAGGAAAGGACAUCAACCGAGACUCCGGAAGUAGUGGCGAGCGAACCCGGACCAGGCCAGUGAUCUUGGCGAGACAAGCAGAACCAUCUGGAAAGUUGGGCGAUAUGGGUGACAGCCCCGUAUGCGUAAUGCGAACCAAGAUCCUUGAGUAAGGCGGGACACGUGAAAUCCUGUCUGAAAUUCGGAGGACCACCUUCGAAGCCUAAGUACUCGUGCAUGACCGAUAGCGAACUAGUACCGUGAGGGAAAGGUGAAAAGCACCCCAACGAGGGGAGUGAAAAAGUACCUGAAACUGGUUGCCUACAAACAGAUGGAGCCUGAAAGGGUGACAUCGUACCUUUUGUAUAAUGGGUCAGCGACUUAGUGUAUCGAGCAAGCUUAAGCCGGUAGGUGUAGGCGCAGCGAAAGCGAGUCUGAACAGGGCGUUCAGUUCGAUGCAUUAGACCCGAAACCGAGUGAUCUAGCCAUGAGCAGGUUGAAGGUGAGGUAACACUCACUGGAGGACCGAACCCAUAACUGUUGCAAUAGUUCGGGAUGACUUGUGGCUAGGGGUGAAAGGCCAAUCAAACUCGGAAAUAGCUGGUUCUCCGCGAAAUCUAUUUAGGUAGAGCGUCGACCGAAUACCCUGGGGGGUAAAGCACUGCAUGGGCUAGGGGUCCUCACCGGAUUACCAAACCUAAGCAAACUCUGAAUACCCAGGAGUACUAGUCGGCAGACACACGGCGGGUGCUAACGUCCGUCGUGAAAAGGGAAACAACCCUGACCAACAGCUAAGGUCCCCAAGUUAUGGCUAAGUGGGAAAGGAUGUGAGGAUCCCAAAACA